AUUUUCCAGGGUCUGACAAGAUCAAGUCCAGAUGAAAACGGUUCUCCUCCAUUUCAUCUUCAGCGCUUGUUUUCAUCACUGAAAUUGGUUAUCAAACAAGCAAAAAUAACGGAAAAUGCAGAAUCCAAACUGCAUCACCUACCGUGGAUGCCAAGUCCACCACCUCGUACUUCCUGCAAUCUAGACAUGGGGGCUGGGCACCUGCUGGAAUCACCUGCGGCCCAGGCUGGACCCCCAGACCAGUUACAUCGGAGUAGCAGGGGCUGGGCCCCGGCGUCAGGAUAGGAUAACUGCUCCAGCGUGCCUGCGCCCCGAGCCUGGACAGACACGGCGAGCAGCCAGGUAGGCGGGCGCUGCUGACCUCGGUCGCUCGCGGCUUCCAAAAGCACGUCAGGAUUCUCUCGAAUAUGCAAGCUUCUGCACGUGCAUUGGAGAAUUUGCUUUUGUGAACAAACAGCUAUAAACCACUGCCUAAAGACUAUUCUAGGGCAGAGAGAUUUUAAACCCUAGUGUGUCAGGACUUAUGGCCAAUUAAGGAUGAACAAGAAACAGCAGCAACUCCGUCUGGAAACGUGAGCCCAAGUGCCAAUGUAUAAAAAUUUGCUUGUAUACAAAUUCAGGGCCGUCUUCUCUAUGACAAUUUGCCUUGGUUCUGUGACAGGUGUCCUACUUUGAAAAGCUAUCUGAAGGUGAGAGAGAAGAGUCUGCAUGUAUGUUCAGAUCUGCAGGGCUGGGGUCACUCUCGAAUUACUGCCGAGAGAGGAGGAGAAAGCGCUCUGCUGGCGCAGGCUCCUCGCUCAGCGGGCUGGGCCAGGGCCACGUUCUAGGUCAAGAACGGAGGCAGAGCGCCCGCUCUCUGUCCCUAGGAGAAGCCCUUCGCUCAGCCUCUGCUGCCCCGCGGUCAGGUAGGAGCCCGUGCAGGGGGCGGGGCUUACCUCACUGGUGUUGCAGAUGUUCUCCAGGGCCGAGCCACACAUUCUUCCUGGGAAAGCAUUCCAAGGGAUGAUACCUGGGAAGCGAAUCCCACCAGAAGCUUAGGGAUUAGUACCGAGUCCAGCGCCCCUGCUCUCAGCGGGCCCCACCUCUUUCAGUGGCAGUUACAACACAAUGACCGGCCACGUUCUUCAACAACCGAUGUACCUGCUCCCUGUAGAACAAGCUCUUGGGAAUAAAAAGUCCUAUUUGGACAACAGGGCAAGAGCAAAGUCAACUAACUAGUCCAUAAGGGAAUUAGACAACUCAAUUUUUUUCCCUACGAAUUCUGCUUUGGUUAGUUGAGCUGAUAGUCCUGAGCUCUAGUUCAACAGCUGCAGGACAACCCCCCUCACAGGCACUUCCUCCUCCUGAGGCCAAACAAGAUCAUCUCCCCCGGAAUUUCAUGGUCUGCGGCCUUACCCCUCAAGCUCUAUUGUCGGUGGUCUGCCCCAAGAUCCGUUCUGAAACGGGGAGGCUGUGCUCAGAAAGGUUCACGGCAAUUCGACAGAGUGGUUAUGUUCUAGAGUUUGGGUUUCCACGUUGUAUGAAUGUCUUUGCUUUUUCUAUUCAUUUUUGUUGUGUUUUACAAGUAUCUCGGAAAGGCUUCUGGACUGAAGCUCCAAUUGGAAACUUGGAAAACCACUGUCCUUCCGCACAGAGCGCGCAGCCCGUGGUGUCUCUCACUGUACCCAGCUCACCUCUGCAGGCACCUCGUCCGUUCGGCGGCUGCUCUUUCUGCCGUGAAGGCCUAGUUGUUUCUGCCAAGAACAGGAUUUCCUACCAUCCUGGCCAGAAGCACUACUGAAACUGCCUUCUCUCCCUCAACAGGGGAAGUCGGGUCUACAGUGCUGGACAGGAGGUGCCCUGGCCCCUUCUGUGGCUUGUCAAAACGAACCGACCUUAGCUGCCGAGGCCAACAGCGAUGCAGCUGACAACCUUUGGCCGCGGGCUGGAACCACCUGGUGAGCUUUACAGACAACAGCUAACUGCAUCCUAUCCCCAGAGGUCAUGACUUAAUUAGCCUGGGGUGAGACAUGGACAUGGGGAUUUUUUUAAAAGAUUGCUGGAAGUUUGAGAGCCACUCCUCAAGAUUACCAGCUAACUAAACUAACACACCUUCCCCAGGCUCAGUCAUGGUGAGCGCACUGCAGUCUUCCUGUGAACCCGCCCGCGGUGGUGGCACUUUCAAUACAUCUUCAAAGGAAGCAGGUACUUACACUUCGCUCAGCAGGGCGUGGUCACUGGUGUUGGUGGAGAAGUGUUGCUCGAGGAUCGCCACGGUGCCCGCGAGAGCCACGUGCCCACAGCCGCAGAACAAGGCGACCCCGGAGAAGCAGAGGAUGGUGGCCACCAGGGAGGCGUAGGGGACUCCGCCCAGACACUUGAUGCAGCAUUCGAAGCAGCCUGGACCCAGAGGGGAGAAAACGCCGCUGUUAAGGGCAAGACGCCUUCCGCCUUUGUGAAGGCCACACAUUAACAGAGAAGACUCGACUCGUCCAUCUUCCCGCGCAUGCUCUAUGGAUAAUAGCUCAGCGUCCCAAGGACCAGAGGGGGAGCUGUGGUCAUCUCCCAUUCUGUGGGUGAGGACUCGGGGGCUCCAAGAGGAAAUGUGUAGCUUAACUUGCUCGGGGUGAGUGGCAGAGCAGCCAACUGACAAAUAGUUAGGGAGUAAGGCACAAUUCUACAAGUUCUUGAUGGACCCGGGGUCAGGGUUAGGGGCCCCCUGCUCAAGUGACAACGAGCAGCAGUCAUCCCACUCGCAAUGUCAAAAGGCCUGCAGUGAGGCUGCGGUUCUAUGAAGAAAAGAGACCGUCAAGUUCCCCCCAACCUCAGCCUUCUGGGGUUUCGGGUACCCAUUUCUCUUGUUUCUGCAGCAGCCAUUGGCUUUCCCCGAGCCUUUGACCUCCUGGGCAGCCAGAAGAGUCAAAUGCAGUAAUUACGCUAUUGCUGUGGUCAGAAAAAUAUCAAGGGAAUCAUUUUGGAAAGGUGGUGGGCAUGUUGGUCCCUAGAAGUACCAAGUCACCCAGAUCCGCUCAAGUGGGUCCACUCAAGUUUCAUUCAUGUCAAUAUCAGAAAUUAGCUCAACUUUUAAAUAAAAAUGUUCCCCUGGGCCAGGCAGCACAAGCAAUUUAAUCACAGCCCCCCACCCCCACCCCGGCUUCCACCUGCCGCCCUCCAACACAAACGUUCAGAGCAAGAAAGAACCCCGAACUGGUGGGUGACAUUUAACUACUUGAAGAGGGAAAAGGAACAGAGGAGGGGGGAAAAAAAAAAAGACAAAAUGAGCAUCCAUGAAGUGAAAUGAAGGAGAGAGCCCCAGUUCACGCUUCAAUCUUGAGAGGAAUAAGACUUUCAUUCAUUUUUAAAAUCAACGUUGACUUGAGAUGUCCAUAAAGACCUCCCCGGGGGCAGUCAGGUGACAUGUUCAGUUUGGAGACAUUUACGUUUCAGUAGAGCAGUGCUGGCCUCGGGAUAAUGUCAGUACCUCUCGUGACCUCCCAUCCCUGUUUACAUUAUCCAGACCCUUAAGUAAAUGGCUUGUCGGGGAAAUCGAACUCUGAAAGCAUUACGAUGUUUAACAGCAAUCCAGAGCAGUUCAUGACUUCAGGGCAAGCACAUUAAGGCUGCUAAAUGUCUUUCACCCCAACGGUCUUUAACAGUAGACAGGGAAUGACUACCACAGCGAGAAACACGAGCUAGGCUUUUCCAUUUUGAUGAGCGUCCCAUUCUAAACUAGCAUUUGCUUAAACCUACCCCAAGCGGUGACUAUACACUCACUACCCGACCUCUCUUCAGUUCAUUGGAAAAUAAAAAGGUCGGGCCCGCAUAAGAAAGUGUGCUUCCUUUCAUUUCAAAAGGUGACCAGCUGUUUUCAUGAAGACCAACCUCCCUGAAAUGGACUGAUGAAACUGCCUAAGAUGGGACCCAGCACACAAUACAGUUCAAGUGCACUAGCAAGUCAGUACCUUAAAGAGCUUUGGACACUUGAGAUUUGUGAACGAGGAUGACGGAGGUCAAUCUUAUUUUGUCCUAUGACCUUCUAGGGGCUGAGGUGAGGCGAGAGGAAUGCAACUAAAAGUCCAGAUGCUCUCCAGGCUCCCAAACCGAGAGGAACUAAAAUCCCUGGCCUUGAUGUAUUCCAUUAUAUAAGACAGAAAAUAGACCUCUUUUCUCUUGUGUUGUGUCAUUCCCCACCUCCCCCAUUCUCAGCCUCCAUGAUGAAGUUAGGAACAAGAUGAACGCCUGCUUCCCUAGCUAACAAAGUUAUAUCUGGUCCUUACUGGAUAGAGAAGUGUGGCCUUGAGACUGUGCUGUCCAAUAUGGCGGCCAUUAGGCACAUGUGGCUAUUUAAAUUAUUCAAAAUAAAAUCAAAUCUUCAGUUCCUCCAUCGCA